rnacentral:rRNA from 1 species
UACGAAGGGGGGCUAGCGUUGUUCGGAAUCACUGGGCGUAAAGCGCUCGUAGGCGGAUCUUUAAGUCAGGGGUGAAAUCCCGAGGCUCAACCUCGGAACUGCCUUUGAUACUGGGGAUCUCGAGUCCGGGAGAGGUGAGUGGAACUGCGAGUGUAGAGGUGAAAUUCGUAGAUAUUCGCAAGAACACCAGUGGCGAAGGCGGCUCACUGGCCCGGUACUGACGCUGAGGAGCGAAAGCGUGGGGAGCAAACAGG